AGCUACAUCCGUCACCUGACACGGCCCUACCAGGAACAGCCGCGCUCCCGCGGAUUCUGGUGCUGCUCGCGUCCCCGCUCCCCUAUUCCCCUUAUUUUAUUCCUGGCUCCCCUCGUCGAAAGUCUUCCAUUCUUCAAACUAGAUUAUUUAAAAAUGAAAAAGGAAGAAAGGAAAGCGAGGUCAUCUCAUUGCUCUAUCCGCCAAUCAGGAGGCUGAAUGUCAGUUUUGAACUAAAAGCCGCUCCGCUCCUCUUCUAGAUUUGGAAAACAAGCGAAAUUAAACUAAACCGCUGCACGCCUCUGACGCGACAUCUGGACACGGCGCGGCGCUGGCGCUGCCGGAGCUGUCGACCCGGCCUGGCGCCGGACUAGUGUCCCUUUUGAUGAGAAGAAUAAGCCUCAUUCUGAUUCAACAGCAGAGAUCAAAGAAAAGACUUCUGUUUUCUGGCCACCAGAUAUAUGUUAUCUGUGCUUAAAGAAUUGAAAAACACACAUCAAAGGAGAAUUUUCUUGGAAAGAGAGGGUUCAAGCAUCACUGUUAGGUGUGGUGGAAUCCUUUCCCGAGUCAGUACUGCUUUCUAGAAGAAAACCGGGGAGAUCUAUUUGGAAUGUAUCUAACUCCAAAGAAACCAUCAGAGGUAACAGUAGAGACGGGGUUUCACCAUGUUGGCCAGACUGGUCUUGAACUCCCGACCUCGUGAUUCGCCCGCCUCGGCCUCCCAAAGUGCUGGGAUUACAGGUGUGAGACACCACGCCCGGCGGAUAGAGAGAAUUUUGACAGAUAUGACACAUUCAUAAUUUAAACAGAAGCCUACGAAGAACUCAUAAAUUAAAAGAAGAUCAUCUUUUCACAAGGUGAUGGAGGCUUUUUAUUUUGCCACAAAACCACUGGUGACGUUGCCUGUGGCCACCUUGGAGAAGACACUGGAGACAGGGUCUCACUCUGUCACCCAGGCUGGAGUGUAUUGGCAUGAUUACAGCUCACUGCAACCUUGAACUCCCAGGCUCAAACCUGAGCAGCUGGGACUACAGAUGCACCACCAUGCAUGGAUGAUUACGGAGCUAGGAAUUUCCUACGAAGCUGGGUGAUAAAAGGACAUUGGACAAAAACACAGAUAGCUUCAUUCUAUACCAGGAUCCAUCACUGAUUAGCUGUAUUAUAUUUGUCUCUACUGUAAUUUGAGGAGAAUGAUACCUGCUUCUCUAUCUUGUUGGGUUUUACAGAUGAUGUAUUGAAAGUUCAAUAAAAUCUAUAAACAAU
rnacentral:sRNA from 1 species